rnacentral:rRNA from 1 species
UACGUAGGGUGCGAGCGUUAAUCGGAAUUACUGGGCGUAAAGCGUGCGCAGGCGGUUUGCUAAGACCGAUGUGAAAUCCCCGGGCUCAACCUGGGAACUGCAUUGGUGACUGGCAAGCUAGAGUAUGGCAGAGGGGGGUAGAAUUCCACGUGUAGCAGUGAAAUGCGUAGAGAUGUGGAGGAAUACCGAUGGCGAAGGCAGCCCCCUGGGCCAAUACUGACGCUCAUGCACGAAAGCGUGGGGAGCAAACAGG